ensembl:lncRNA
CACCGAGCGUUUGACCCCUGACCCCUGCGACCCCGCGCCACACAAGAAAAAGAAGAAGAAGAAGAUGCCCACCAUUGACGCGGAGACGGAGCCUGACGUUCCGAAUGGGGAGAUGAACGAUCAGACUGAGGAGGAGCUGUCUGUGCCCGUGACCAAGAAAACCAAACGCAAAAGGAAGGCCCGUACCACAGACACCUGCAGUACUGACCUCCUGCCAGAAGAGGACGACGUUGUGGACACUCGCUCGUCCCCUCUGCCUCUGCCCUCCGUCCUCUCGUCCGCUCAGGCUCACAGCCAGAGCUCCGGCCGUGUCUUUGUGGAGAGGCAGCG